rnacentral:rRNA from 1 species
UACAGAGGUCCCAAGCGUUGUUCGGAUUCACUGGGCGUAAAGGGUGCGUAGGUGGUUCUGCCAGUCUGAUGUGAAAUCUCCGGGCUUAACCCGGAAAUGGCAUUGGAAACUGCAGGGCUAGAGUGUUGGAGGGGGGACUGGAAUUCUCGGUGUAGCAGUGAAAUGCGUAGAUAUCGAGAGGAACACCAGUGGCGAAGGCGAGUCCCUGGACAACUACUGACACUGAGGCACGAAAGCUAGGGGAGCAAACGGG